rnacentral:lncRNA from 1 species
AGGCAACUGGCGGAGUGGCGGCUCCACCAGAGCCUGGGAGCUGCCCCCGCCCCCGAGCCGCGAGCCCCGCGCCGGGCCGGGGAGUCCCCGGCGCCACACGCCCCCACCACCCCCAUCUUAGCGCCCCCCACCCUCUAUGGAGACAUUUCAACCAGGGAGAAGGGAAGUCCUGCCCUUGCCCCUCGCCCCCGCCCUGCUCCUCCAACAGGGGAGACUUCUGUCCAAACCUUGGAAAGAAACGAGAUGCCAGGCCUAGCGCCUUCGGGGAUCCUCUCUGGACAAGGCCACAGGGUGAAAACACCAGGUGCCUCUCCUUCCCCAGCACAGUCUGGACCUGGGCGGACUUUUUGGAAAAGCUUCUGGAUGCCACGGACUCCACGACCAACCAACUAGGUUGCUGCUGCUUGCAAACAUCGCCUCCAUUGAAGGAUUCCUGCAGCCACCAGCUCUGGAACUUUCUGGAACCAACUUCCUGGAGGCGUUUGACCGGGACCUGGGAGGGCAGCUGAGAAGUGCCUGACCAUUCUCAAGGAGCUGCGUGGAUUCCAGACAUCUCUGGGCUGGUCUCUGGACCGGGAUGGGGGACCCAGAGGUGGAGCCGAACACACAAGCAGCACUUGAGGGCUCCGAGGGUGGCAAGGAGAGAAGUUCCUGCUCUGGUACAGCCCUGGGACCUUGAAAGGGUGUGUCACUGGGGUCACUCCACUCUCUGCAUUAGGUCUCAGUCAUCCAAGACCAUCUUUCAAGGGCCGUCACUCCAAUUAUGAGUCUGGGAUUUUCUGAAAUUGAGCAUUUUGGCCAGGCUGUGGGGUCCCUCUAUGACUGCCUGUAAGACACUGCCAAGGGGACUUUCUUCCUUUCACCAGACUGAAGCUAAGAAGUGCUGGAGACAGCAGUUGCUUUAGCCACAGGCUGUGUAGACCACCUGAGGAUGACCUGGGGGUCUGUUUUGUGCACCUUGGAACCCAUCGGAUCCCUCCAAUGGCACAUUUGUCCAGAGCAAGACAAGAUCACACUUUGACAGCCCUCUGUCAAGAUCCUUGCUCCAAAUCUCCAGACUAGCAGCCAGGAGUCUCCAUGCUGUUCUGAAGAAGCAGAUUCCUCACCCACCCUUCAACUCCUUCCCAGGAGGUAAUCCUCCUCCAAAUCUCUGGAAAAGAUACACCUCCUCUUCUCUGAUAAAGGCUGGGGGGUGAUGCCCCUCCCCCAGUUUCCCAAUAAAGCUAUGCAAGACAGGAGCAAGGGAUCUCACGGCCUGUUUUUGCUACAAAAACCCUUUUUCGGAAAAAAUAAUAAAGAAAGGAAUCAGCCAAUCCCUCCUCGAUGCCAU